rnacentral:sRNA from 1 species
AGGGUGAUCUGGCUGUAACAUCUGUCACCCCGCUGAUCGCCAGGGUUGAUGUGACUGAUCCGGCUGGUAGCUAGGCCAGUGUCCCCUUCCUCCUU